rnacentral:rRNA from 1 species
GAUGAACGCUAGCUACAGGCUUAACACAUGCAAGUCGAGGGGAAACGAUAGAGAAAGCUUGCUUUUUCUAGGCGUCGACCGGCGCACGGGUGAGUAACGCGUAUCCAACCUGCCCACCACUUGGGGAUAACCUUGCGAAAGUAAGACUAAUACCCAAUGAUAUCUCAAGAAGACAUCUGAAUGAGAUUAAAGAUUUAUCGGUGAUGGAUGGGGAUGCGUCUGGUUAGCUUGUGGGUGGGGUAACGGCCCACCAAGGCGACGAUCAGUAGGGGUGCUGAGAGGAAGGUCCCCCAGAUGAGAACUGAGACACGGUCCAAACACCUACGGGAGGCAGCAGUGAGGAAUAUUGGUCAAUGGGAGAGAGACUGAACCAGCCAACUAGCGUGCAGGGUGACGGCCCUAUGGGUUGUAAACUGCUUUUAUAAGGGAAUAAAGUGAGUCUCGUGAGGCUUUUUGCAUGUACCUUAUGAAUAAGGACCGGCUAAUUCCGUGCCAGCAGCCGCGGUAA